rnacentral:misc_RNA from 1 species
AACGCACAUUGCGCCCUUUGGUAUUCCGAAGGGCAUGCCUGUUCGAGCGUCAUUACAACCACUCAAGCCUUUGCUUGGUCUUGGGGCUCGCGGUCUCGCGGCCCCUAAAAUCAGUGGCGGUGCCGGUCGGCUCUACGCGUAGUAAUACUCCUCGCGACAGGGUCCGGACGGUAUCUUGCCAGCAACCCCCAUAUUAUUUUCAGGUUGACCUCGGAUCAGGUAGGGAUACCCGCUGAACUUAA